rnacentral:rRNA from 1 species
GUGCAGCAGUCGCGAAUCCUCCGCAAUACACGAAAGUGUGACGGGGCCAUCCCGAGUGCCGUCCGCUGAGGACGGCUUUUCCCCAGUGUACAUAGCUGGGGGAAUAAGGAGAGGGCAAGCCUGGUGUCAGCCGCCGCGGUAACUACCAGCUCUCCGAGUGGUGGGGACGCUUAUUGGGCCUAAAGCAUCCGUAGCCGGCUGGGCAAGUCCUCCGUUAAAUCCAACGAUUCAAUCGUUGGGCUGCGGGGGAUACUGUCCAGCGUUGGGGGCGGGAGAGGCCGACGGUA